AAGCAUUUAUUUUUUCAGUAUGAAUCAGAGCAGAUCGAUUCUCCAUAGUUUGUCCGUCUCUCUUGCAUCUGAGGUGGUUUCUUGAGCAGAAAUGAAAGGUACGGUGUUACAAGUAAGUCUUGGGGAAUUGCACAUAACCUGAGGCCUGUCUUAGGUAGGCUGCAACCUUCUGCAAGCAACUACCUUUCCUAAUGGGCUGAUAGUUAGAUAUUAGAAAAGGUGAUUGUGAAUUAUUAUCGUGUUGGGCUUCUUCGAGCCGUGGUAUGCCCAUAGGAGUGUGUCGUGAACGAGAAUGUUAUCUGUCACGUCUCUUUUGGAGAAAAACACAUUGAGAUCUGCUAGCAAAAUCUAAGCUUGUUGCCUUGUCUAUAAAAUGAAGAUAAUAAGACAUAUCUCAUAGGAUUGUUGAGAAGAUAGAAAGAGGGACCCUACUCUCCCCACCAACUUCUCCUUACCCUCAGUCCCCGGACGAGGAUUGGAGAGAGCUUAUAUUAAUUGGGAUAGCCUUAAUAAAGACAGAAACGUGUACUCGGAAACAAGCAGCAGGGCAGGGCGGCAGAAUGGACCCUGCAUGGGCUGCCAUCAACACACCACUGUCACCUUCAGCCUCUGUGCGAGGCUCACCAGCGUGUCCAGCACCGAGCUGGGCUUUUGCUUUUUCAUCCUUGGCCCCAGCAACUGGGAAGCUGGGGCGGCAGUUCUCUUUCAAGGACCAGCUGGAAUAAAACAAGAAGUAAAAUCUUGAUCAACGUUUCUCCUGAGGCAGCUGCAAUUCCUGAGUCAUCUCUACCCCAAAAUGUGGUUUUGUGGGUUUCCUUAAAGACUUUUGAAGCUUUGUUACCUCCUAUCCCAAUAGAAGUAAUCAACAGGCUUCACUCAACUCCCAGAGAUCUUCAUUCUAAUGUAAGGAAUUCCCUACCUCCGAAGAAAGGCCCAGUGUUACAGGACUGUCAGCUUCCCCUACCCUUUCUGAGCAGUUUGGAGGGGAGAACUAGCAUAUUAUAGUGGGUGGCUGACACUAUUAUUCGCCAUUCCAGGCGCUUCCCUCUCCCUUUCCUUAUUGGACAAGCCCUUCUCCUACUGCAGGAAAUGCCAGUUACUCUUUUCCCAGUCUCCCUUACAACUAGUGCAUAGGCAAGUAACUCAAUAUUGAUCCAUGGGACCUGAAGAAAUGUCUGCUAAGAGUUUGGAAAAAGGUUUCUCUUCCUAGAAAUGAAGAAGCAUCCCUUUUCUCUUUUCUGUAUAUGAUUUGUCAGCAUGUGACCUCUGGAACCAUUGCAGCCUUUUUGGGGUCAUGAGGGAAGGCAUCAAUGUCACAUUGUGAGUGCCAGAGCACAAUGAAGAAAAGUAUCUGGGUCCCUGAGCCAUUGCACCCAACUUGGGACUUCCCUGCCUUGACUUACCUUAUAAGUAAGGAGAGGAGAUCAGGCCAAGACAAAUGAAGGAAGUGGCCACAACUUAACAAGUCUUGUACCAGCGGGCAUUCCGGCUGCAGAGAAACUACCCGCUCCCAGCAUAGCCUCCUGGGAGUUGUCCACAGAUCUGUAAGAACCCCAGAGUCUCAACCUUCUGGAACCUCGGUGAGAAAGUCAUACAGGCAUAACCGCAUCUGCCAGUUGUUCUAUGUCCAAAACACAAAGCUGGCAUCUCAAGCUACUGGCGAUGAUGGAAAGACAGAGAGUAAACAAGGACCGUGAUCUUGACGUGUCUGCUGCUCUUUCUGCCACACAAAUGGUCCAGAAAUGGACUGCACCCGGGACACAGGAAUCAGCCUGAAGGCUGAGAGAAGGGCUCGGGGAAACAGGAGGAGAGGACGAGGUGGCAGAAGAGCAAGCUGAUGCUUCUAAACUAAUGGAGAAAAGAGGCAGAUGUGCAGUGGAAAUUCUGGCUUGAAAUUGCUAAAAUCAGGCAAUAAAUAAGGCAACAUCUGUCUUGCCUAAUUCCAGGCACAGUUCGUUCAAAAUGAAAUGCAGUUUCUACCUCUGUCACUCGCUCUAGGUAGACCUAGAGGUCAGCCUCAUGUGGAACGGAAACAUAUAAUUGCAGUUCGGUUUUGAGCUUGGUCCACACCCCUACUUCUCAUCUUGUUAUGUUAUAUGUUAUGUUAUUUCUUCCUCCUUUACUUCCUUCCCUCCCUCCCUCCCUUCCUUCCUUCUUCCUUCCUUCCUUCCUUCCUAAUUUUCAUGCAGAAUUUGCUCUGAGGCAUUUUAAUUGGCCUCAGCUUCUUCCUGGCUCUUUCCCCAUUGGCCUUCCCACCCUCCUUUUAAUCUGCCCACAUCUUUCUCUCCCUGAAACGCUUCUUCCUCUCUCUGUCUCCUCCACCUCUCUCUCCAAAGACAAGAAAAAACAAAGAGGGGCAGUAAGGGAAUUCCACGGCCUGAAUGCUUUCUUCCCUGUGUUCUCUAGGGCCCAUUAUCAGGGGAAGUUGCUGCCCUGUAAUUAAAACGCAGUAUUGUAUUUUCCGCAUGUGCUGAUAUGUUUUAAAAUAUUCAAAAUGGAAUAUUUUUGUCACUGCAUGACAAAAUAUGAUUUAUGUGGAAGAGCAAGUCUGGUAGAAAGUAUCUUUCUUAGGAGCAGGGAUAGCCCGCAGGCAAUGGUAGAGACCAUCCCAGGCUCCGACCUUUCUGCUGCCACAAACACCCACUGACCAGGGCUCUCCAUCCUCCGUGGGCAGCAUGGAACAAAACAGGGGCACAGGGCCAUUGUCCUGAGAUCCCAGAGCAACAUUUCCACGUGCUCAGCUGGGUCUUACAGACUCUGGACUCCCGCCUUGCUUGCCUAGGACAUCUCUAGAAGUGCUUGAGAGCGUAACCGAUUUCUGGGAAUGUGGCCUCUGACCUGCCUACACCUUCCCAGUUUUGCCUUUUCUUUCUGCUUGCCUACUGAUCUGGUUUCUUAUAUUCAAGGUCUGGUAGCACGAUAUGUUUGUGGUACAGAAACACUGCACAGUAAUAAGCAUUUGUUAAGAGAAGAAAAUAGUAUUAAUAGGCAGAAAACCAUGAUCAUCAACCUUGACUUCCCUCCCUAGUGUUUAUUAGCUUGUUAGUGGUGUCACUGCAACUUUGUUGCAUAUUUUUAUCUCUUCUUUUCUCUGUCAUUUACAUGAUGAUCAUACUUGAGCUUUUUUAUAUUCUACCUGCAAAAUGUCCCUUGACUCUGUCCCCUCCUUUCCCCGUCUUGGGUCACCGCCCCAGCAUGGUCUCCUGUUAUCGCUUAUCUUAAACGAUGCCAUUCUGGGAUUCUUUGCCCUUUCCUAUUCACUUUCCAGAUCGUUUCCUAAAAUCUGAGAUACGAUUCUAUCACUCCCCGGCCUAAAUAUUGCUGCUGGUUCCCCACUGCUGGCAUCGCAUCCAUGCCCCUAGCGACCUUCACCCAGCACACUUCCCAGUCCCACCCCCCAUCCUGUGACCCCUUACCUUUCAUCACAUCUCAGCCCUUGUCUUGAUAACAAGGCAGCCCCAUGAGACCCCUCCCCUUGAACAUGCUCUCCAAUGGCCAGCUAUCAUGCUUCAGGUCAAACUGUUUCCUUUUCUUGGAAUAUGUUUCCCCACAUCCACUUGUCUAAACCCAGUGGAACGUCCAAGGCAGAGCUCAAAUGCUGCCUCUUCUGAGGAGUCCUCUUCUGUCAGCUAGGCGGAGUGAAACACCCCACCUUCUGUUCCCGUAGCACUUGGUUCAUCCACUGCUUGACAGACCCAUCAUUUUCCCUGCUACAGGAGUUAUUACUUACAGGUCUGCUUUUUUCCUACUAGACCAUGGUCUCUUAAAGAUCAGGGGGUUUUUUUGGGAUUUUUUUGGUGAGUGAGGUGUUUAAAUAUCCUUAGCACAGCUCCUGGUAUCCAAUAGGCAACAAGUGAGAUGCAAUUAGGGCCUUGGUGAUUAUGGCCUGCGUAGAGUGAGAUUUGCUGACUCUGAAAUCACCUGGUAACCCCUGCAGCUGGCACACAUUAGGGGCAAUGCCCCUUGGGAUAGCUAGGCCCCGGAGGGGAAGCCCUUCCAGCAACAUAAGGUGAGUGGACCAGGGGGUUAAAAUGGGACUUUUCCUGUCUUGGGUUUUGUCUGAAGUCUCAAAGCUGAGAACAGUGGAUUCCAAAUAUCUCCACAUUCUAAGGCAGAUGUUAGACCAUUUUUGAAAAAUUUGUAAAAGGGAGUAAUAAUAACUUGUUGUAUCAGCAAUAUCUAGACUACAAAAGAAAACAUUAAGAAUUCAUUAAGUGUUCUCCAAACCAGUUUCAUCCUUUCUCCCCUUUUUCCCUGGUAUUCUUACCACAGCCACUAGAGUGAUCCGGGGCAAUUGCGCCUCUUGUCUCCUCAGAAACAUGUAGGCGUGGGUCUCACCGAGUGAGAGCCCAAAUCCUUGCAAUGGCUUCUGAGGCCCGGCAAAGGCAGGUUUCAUUUCCUCUUGAACCUCACCUGCUGUUCCACCUCCCCCUGCUCUCUCUGUUCCAGCCACACUGGCCUCCUUGCUCUUCUUCAAACCUGCCUCAGGGCCUUUGCACUGGCUUUUCCUGGCUAACCAUCACACCUUCAAGUCUUCGCUUAAGUAUCACUCCCCUACUGAGGCCUACCCCAUCACCCUGUUUAAAAUUGCAAGCCGUAAAUACUAGCACUCCUGAUUCCUCAUGUCUUGCUCUGCUUUUUCUUCUUCCACAGCAGUAACACACUAUCAGAUUGAAUUAUUCAUUACUUUCUGGUUCAUUGUCUCUGAGGGUGGGGAUGUUUCUCUUUUCUGUUUGUGAAGCACCCAUUCUACUGAUGAAGCACAGAAUACGCUUGUUUUCUAUACUAACCAUUAGCUAAGUCAGGAUUUCCAGGAAGGAGAGGAUGGCUUAUCCAGCUUACUGCCCAUAACAACCAUAUUUUUCCUUGGAUUUGACUCUGCUUUUCAUGUCUGCUCUUGAAUUCUUCAAAAUGGCCCUUUCACUAAAAUAAUCUCUCACUGUUGUUCACUAGGAUUUUAAAGAAGCUAUUCAGAGUAGUUUUAUCAUAAAAGCAGUCUCCUUUGAGUUGUAGGUAAUAAAAAAAGAUUUUUUGUCUUGUUUUCCCCUU